UACGUAGGGUGCAAGCGUUAAUCGGAAUUACUGGGCGUAAAGGGUGCGUAGGCGGUUGUUUAAGUCUGUCGUGAAAUCCCCGGGCUCAACCUGGGAAUGGCGAUGGAUACUGGGCAGCUAGAGUGUGGCAGAGGAUGGUGGAAUUCCCGGUGUAGCGGUGAAAUGCGUAGAGAUCGGGAGGAACAUCAGUGGCGAAGGCGGCCAUCUGGGACAACACUGACGCUGAAGCACGAAAGCGUGGGGAGCAAACAGG
rnacentral:rRNA from 1 species